rnacentral:rRNA from 1 species
UACGGGGGGGGGUAAGCGUUGUUCGGAAUUACUGGGCGUAAAGGGCUCGUAGGCGGCCAACUAAGUCAGACGUGAAAUCCCUCAGCUUAACUGGGGAACUGCGUCUGAUACUGGAUGGCUUGGAUUCGGGAGAGGAAUGCGGAAUUCCAGGUGUAGCGGUGAAAUGCGUAGAUAUCUGGAGGAACACCGGUGGCGAAGGCGGCAUUCUGGACCGAUAUUGACGCUGAGGAGCGAAAGCCAGGGGGAGCAAACGGG